CUGCCACCCUAAUUAAUUUGUCCUUCCUGACCCCCUCCCCCCCCCCUCCCCAAAAGUCAUAAUUACACAAUCCGCUAUAUCAGCGCAGUGGUUCAGUUCAUCUGGCUGGGGUUGAUUAGGUGGAUGCUAAUAUAAUCACGGAUAUAAUCAGAUAUGGGGUUUUUAUUUUUGUUCUUUUCUUACAACACGCAUGGUUUUUCUGCACCAUAUUGUCCAAUUGCAUUCUCAUCACACUCCCCUUUCACAGCAUAGCUUUUCACUGUAUAAUUUUACCUGCUAUGAGUUUCAGAUUUGUGAAGAAAAUGAUGGAAAAAUGGGGAGUGGGGGAGGGGGUGUGUGUGAAGGAAGAUGUGGCCCCCUGCUUGCUAUGUCUUAAAGGGAGCAGAAGAAUUGUACUGGGACUCCAGAAAGGGGGGGAGAAUGCUGCCUGCUGUUGCCUCAUCAUCAUACAAGCGUUUCACGCCUGUCUGCCUGCCUCCUCUUCCUCUUCAUCCUUGUCCUUGUUGGUUUAUUUUUAUUAUUAAUUUAUUAACUUGAUUGUUUGCUUUUUUUUUUGUUAGUUAAUGAAUACCUAAAUGUGUGUGUGUGUGUGUGUGUGUGUAUAUAUAUAUAUAUAUAUAUAUGCAGAGAGGGAGGGGUUCAAACAUCAAAAAAGAUAUUGUGAGCCAUGGACUUGUUGGGAAUAUUAGUUGUAUUUGUUUGCAGCUUCUUUGAUUGUUAGCUCCCCUGAACUUGAUAAUAGCACCUGGUCCAAAUUUCAAGCAACUCAGAGACAAUCAUUUCUUCACCCAUUAUAUUCAAUUUAUUCAACCUUUGACAUGAUUUAGUCUUUGACAGUUGAUUUUGAUUUAAUAAUUACAUUUUUGGGAUGGGUUUGUGUUGCAUGACACCCACUAGAUGAUUAUGUAUAUAUAUAUAUAUAUAUAUAUAUUUGUGUGACUUACUUUUUCUCAGUAUAAAAAUGUAAAUUGUCAAAAUUGACACUAUAUAUGUCUGUUGAGGAAAGUUGUGCUUUGGGGCAGCUACUAAAGCUAAGCUGAGGAGCUUUGAUAAUCAAAAAGUCCACAACCAACUGAAGUACACUAUGUUGAUCAAGUACAUUAUACAAUGUGGCUUAAAAAAUUCACCCAUUCUUAUUUUGUUUUAUUAAAAUAUCCAUCAAAAAGUAUGAUGCAUAAAAUAAUUAUAUUUCAGCAUUUGGUUAAUCUGUAUUUUUUUACUUAAAUAAGAGUAAUAUAAUUACAAGAUCUAGUCUAUAGCAUGAAGAUGGGAGAAUCGAAUUAUUUAAAAGGGGAUAACUGUAAUGCUUAAUGUAUUCACCUACAAACAAACAUAUUUUAAAAAAUCUUGGUCAUAUAACUUAACAUAGUUUUUCUAUUUAUACAAACCAAUGCAAUAAAUAAAUAAAAAGAGAGAGAGAAAAUAUAAAAAUAAAAUAUUCAUACACAUACUUUUAAAAUUAAAAUAUAUCAAUGCAUCUUAUCAUGGUUAAUAAAAUGUUAAAAUAAAAUAAAUGUUAUCACUUUAUGAAUAUUAAAUUUCAUGAAGAUGCCUAAGAAAUGACUUAUUUUGUAUUGAUAAAAUAUGGCAUGUAAUGUAUCUUUAAGAAAAUUAAAAGAUUGAUUUUCUUGUAUUUAUUUAUUUUUUAUAAAAAAAUCUACAUAAUAGUAUCUAUUUUAUAUAACUCAUAUUUUCCACAAAUUAUUAGGUUGUAAGAUACUUAAGAUGCAUAAAUUUUAAGUUGGAAUGUUAUCAAAUGUGUAUUUUGAAAAGAGAGACAUUAAAAAGACCACAUAUUGUACUAUUUAUAAACUCUAUAAGACACAUAUGAUGUAUUUUAAAUCUUUGCUAUCUUCCUGAUAAGUAAAACAUUUAUACUUAUUAAUUUUGAGAAAGCCAAAGCACUAAUUAUGACAGAAAAUAGUUUGCAUUGUAUCUGAUAUUGAUUAAAAUUUAAAUUUUGUAAAUAGUUUAAUUUGAAACGAAAAGAAAUAAAGAUGCAAAUACAAGCAUGCUAGAUAGAGAAUAAAAAACAUGAGUAUUUUGGGAUAUGCUAAAACGUGACAUAAAACUCAAAAGAGUUUUAAAUGGUUUAUAGUUGUCUAAAUUCAACGAAGAAAUUAUUGAAAAUUUCAAAUUUUUUGAUGUUCAAAAAACAAUAUAAUGAUUUAUUGUUCAAUAUACUGGUAAGGAAUAUUUUCUGGCAAUCACAUCCUCAAAAAGUUAUUUAAAAACUUUGUAAAAAAGUAAUUUUUUGUUUUGUUUUGUUUUGUUUUUUUUUUUUUUUUUGAGAAAUUAGCACAAAUCUAAUUAAGAAAUUUUACAAAUUAAUCAGUUACAAUUUUUUAUUUUUUUAUUUUUUUAUUUACAUGUAUAUCUAUUUAUAGCUCUGGAAUACAGUGAGAAUAUAACUUAUAAAAUUAAUCCAUGUAAUUGGCAUUGUCUUUUGACAGACUAUUUUUUCUUUUUGUCUUUGUUCUUUAUAUUUGUAUGUAUGUAUGUUCUUUACGAAUUUUAACAGUUUUACUAAUAAAAAAAAUUAAGAAAUUUUUUCAAAAUGAGGCUUUUAACAUGUAACAUAUUAAUUGUGUACUAUGAAUUGAAAUCAUUGACAUUAUUUAUUAAAAUGCAUAGAGAAAUAAAAAUAUAGUAGUUAUCACCAAUGUAUAAUGUACAAAUUCUGCAUUAUUUUAUGUUUUACUUUUUAUAUUACCUCCCAAUCUACUCUAAUCAUCUUAAUACCUAUUAAUUUAUUUUCAAGUUUCAAUCAAAGUACUUGUUUUCAAUCACAAAAUGAAUGGUUAACACAUGAGAUUGAAACCAAAAUAAUAUUCACUUAAUAACUUACUUCGGAAUAUCAAUAUUAUGUUAUAUUAUAUUAUAUUAUUUUAUAAAUAAAGAAAAAUACCAAAAUAUUAUUAUCCAGCUACAUAUUUUAUUUUAUUUGUGCAUUGAAGUUUUUUAUUGUAAACAAAUUAGAAACACAUAAAGACGUCAUUAAAUCUUUAAAUUUUUCAGUAUUACUAAAGAAAAUAGAACAAACGUAACCUACAUCAGUUUUAAAGAAGUAAUAACAGCUUUCAAAGUAUAACCUAUAAAUUGAAGCCUUGUUUAUGAAUAAAAUGUUUUUGUUAUAGAAUAUAUACAUUUGUUUUAGGAAAAAAAAAAAUGUAUAAAUAAUAAGCUCGUUUUUAUUCAGUUAUGUGCUUUUUGAUAUAAAAAUAAUUGUAUAUAAUUAUAUAUAGUCACUCAUAUCAAUAUCAUAACCUUUUCUAUAAUUGAAGUUCCUAGAUUUUUUUGCGGUAUUAAUAAGGCAGCAUAUUUUCAUAUUAUUUUCAAACUCAUGUAUUAAUUAAUUUAAUACUCAAAAUGGACUCAGUGCUGGGAGGUCUAUCAAAAUUGGACUUAUAUACAACAAAAUUAAGAGACUUAUUAAAAAAGAUGGAACGUGUUCAUCAUCUGACAUGAUAAAACUAAUUUCCAGAUACUAAUAAUACUUUGAUUGAUUUGGCCAAUUGUUAUUACGAUUGCACACAAAUUUCAUGCUCUAACACCCACGGACUAGUGUAUGAGAAGUUAAAUUAAUGCUUAUUUUAAAUGGUUGUUUUACUUGUAAAUUCACAGCAGUCAAAUAAUUGAAUGUACCUUCUUAUUGUUAUCUUCAAAACAUUGGAAUCAACUUAGCCCUUUGCUUUUUCGUUUCUAUAACAACAUGAAAAAUAUUAAAAAAACCCUACAUCCUGUUAGUUUUAUAUAUUUAUAUAAUGAAUCAUUUUGUUUGAAUUUUACCCUAUAGACAAAGGAGGCUCCUGAUAAUAAAAAGAAUCGAAAGAGAAACGUAAAGAUGAUGCCAAACUAUACAUUACAAUUAUUAUUUGCAAUAAUACAUCUUAUAAUAAUAGAACAUAUUAUUCGUUUUUUAUAACACAACCUCAAAGUUUCUAAAUUGAACGCCGAAGACAUUGUCCACAAAAAAAUUAUAUAUAUAUAUAUAUAUAUAUAUAGAUGUAUGUAUGUAUGCACUUCUAAUAAUAUAUAUUUAUUUUAAUUUUAAUUAAUGAAGUUAGGCUUUGUUGUACGCAGGGUCUGGUUUAAGGUGUAGCUGCUCUGGGUUUGUCUGAAGAUGUCUGAUUGCCCCCCUCCUCUCCUUCAUUUGGGAACUUGUUCCCAAGUCUGCGAACCCUCUUGAAUCAACAACUACCACCACCCUCAGGAACUCUCCAGAACCUUCCAUUCUCAUUCAUCCACAAGCUCAAUCAUCCGUCCAUCACAUAUGCUCCUUUCAUCUAGGACUGUAUUCUUCGGGAUCCU
rnacentral:lncRNA from 1 species